AUGGAAGACAAGAAAAAGCAAGAAGAGACAAACAAGGAUACUGCACAGAAACCGGCAACUGAACAGAAAACCAAAGUGCCAGACUCUGUUAAACCCAAUCCCAGCAUCCCUUCAAACCCCAUUCUGACCCUGAACCUGCCUGUACCCUGUCCUGCCACCACCAGCAAUGGCAAGCGUAGCCCUUGUAAUUCCCUACAACAGCAGUUACCUCCAUUACAGCAGCCCAGUCCCCGAUAUGUGCCCAGAGAGAUUCCUCCACGCUUCCGACAGCAGGAGCAGAGGCAGCUACUGAAGAGGGGUCAACCUUUACCUACAGGCGCUCUGAACCCGACCUCUGCUUGCCCUCAGUCCGGGGUCAUCUCCCCUCCCGAGACGCCCACCAGCAAACGGCACACGGGUGAGAAUAAUGUUCUGUUUUUGAAGGAGACACUAAGAUAUUUAUUUUCAUAGGCUUUUCACUGUGAAUAGAGAUAAUUGUGGUAUUUUUUUUUUUUUUAUCAUUUGUUGUCUUAGAGAGAUUGUAUUCCUCCUCAUGACCUUGGGAUGUCUAUGACUGGCUAUGAUUUAAAGGUCGAGGGUAGGAUUGUGUCCCCCACCCUGAUACACCCUAACAAAGCCUGGCAUUGACCUCUUAAGUCUCAUUCUAAGCCCAAGGUCAUGGGAGCGGCAUGGUUAAAGGGACUCUGUCUCUAGUGUUUUUUGCAGUUAUUGUUUACUGGCCCCCUCCCCUACAUCCCUUUGGUUGAUGACUGAGAGUGUUUGCGAUUCACUCCAAUCUGGUUUAACGGCAGGUGGAACAGCAGAGCUUGGACAGAAGGGAAUCCCUGGGAACAGGGGCUCACCAUAGGGCUGUGCAAAAAAUCGAAUACGAUUUUCAUGCGCAUCUCUUUAGUAAAGACGCUCCUGUGAUUAGUAGUAUAUCUCCAGCACGUGCGUUAAGAUCAGGGUUGCCAGGUUUUCACAACAAAUCCUGCCCAGUUGCUUCUCAAAACUAGUCCAAAACUAGCCCAAUCGCGUUUCCAGGAGGUUCCCCGAUAAAAAUUGCAUCCCGGGGUUAAAAUAUACGUUUUUGGCAGGGUUGCCCUGGUAAUAUUCACAUUUUAGGGGCUAAAUAUCACGUUAUUGGUAUUGGGGUCGCUUCAACCCGCGGACAUGAAAAACAACCGCAGACUUGGCAACACUGGUUCAGGUGGAGCGGGAGCGGCAUUUACUACACAGAGCCGUAGUCCACCGACAAGCUACACAAAAUCGCUUUCAAAAUCGACAAAGAAUCGCCUGCGAUUUUAAAAUCGAUUUUGUGUAGACUGUCAGUGAAUUACGGCUCUGUGUAGUAAAUGCCGCUCCACCUGAACCAGUGUUGCCAAGUCUGCGGUUGUUUUUCAUGUCCGCGGGUUGAAGCGACCCUAGCUCACCAGCUGUUUCAUGCCUAGUAAUGGCUUUGUCAACUCUUGAAUCAUUAUUGUCUUCGCUGUUUUAUAUGCAUUUCAUUUUCUGCUAAUUAAUAUUUUAGAAAUAUGUGCUUCUGGGAUUCAGAUACCAUCAAAAAUCCAAGUUAAGCAAACAAGUUAAUUUGUUUAUCUAAAAUGGCCUUUUGAACUGCAAAAGAUAAGGUUUAAUUUUUGGAUGUGCAGAACUUUUUCAUAAUUGAUUAGUCUAUGGUUUCCCUUUAAUAAUAAUUAGUAAAUAAAUCAGUCGUAGAGAAGUCCUAUAUGGUUUCG
ensembl:lncRNA